rnacentral:rRNA from 1 species
GGUUAAGCGACUAAGCGUACACGGUGGAUGCCCUGGCAGUCAGAGGCGAUGAAGGGCGUGCUAAUCUGCGAUAAGCGCCGGUAAGGUGAUAUGAACCGUUAUAACCGGCGAUACCCGAAUGGGGAAACCCAGUGUGAUUCGUCACACUAUCAUUAACUGAAUCCAUAGGUUAAUGAGGCGAACCGGGGGAACUGAAACAUCUAAGUACCCCGAGGAAAAGAAAUCAACCGAGAUUCCCCCAGUAGCGGCGAGCGAACGGGGAGGAGCCCAGAGCCUGAAUCAGCAUGUGUGUUAGUGGAAGCGUCUGGAAAGGCGCGCGAUACAGGGUGACAGCCCCGUACACAAAAGCGCAUGUGCUGUGAGCUCGAUGAGUAGGGCGGGACACGUGGUAUCCUGUCUGAAUAUGGGGGGACCAUCCUCCAAGGCUAAAUACUCCUGACUGACCGAUAGUGAACCAGUACCGUGAGGGAAAGGCGAAAAGAACCCCGGCGAGGGGAGUGAAAAAGAACCUGAAACCGUGUACGUACAAGCAGUGGGAGCCCCACCACUAAGCCAGUGGUGAACUCCACAUACGCAUCCUUUGCUGAGGAUACGGUUAACGGAGCGAAAGCGACGUUCAACCUCAAAAGAAGCAGAGGGGGCUUAGUGGUGGGGUGACUGCGUACCUUUUGUAUAAUGGGUCAGCGACUUAUAUUCUGUAGCAAGGUUAAC